rnacentral:lncRNA from 1 species
GUGGACUCUGUGGGUUUCUAAUGAAAAUUCCUUUGUAGCCUCACGGCAGGAUUUCCCACCAUUUUUCUUUUUCUGAUGAAAUUAACUCCCUGUGGUUGGUCAGCAGGAUAAUCUAAUUUUAGCCAAUCAGCUUGGGAGCUGCCAUUGACCUCACAAAGGGAGAGAACGUUACCUGCAGUCAUGGCAACGCGGAGCUCAGCUCUGAUCAUCUCUGGAUCCUUUGGAGUAAUGAAAGACACCGGCUUGCUUUUGAGAUGAUUAAUCUUUUCCCCUGUGAACCUACUUGAAUACAUUAGCAAAACAAGUAUGAUAAAUUUGUUUAUCCCAAGACAAUCAUUAGAAAAUUACCUGCAAAAGUAAUUCUCACUAGGGCUGGGGCUGUGAAUGGUGCACCAUAUGGCGGGGAGACCUGAGAUGAGCAGCCCAGCCCCUCCUUCACCCCCGCUGGCUGCAACAGGUUGGGGAAGUUGAUGAGUUUUCAGCUGUCAGACAAGCAUGUGGGGAAGAGAGAGUCACACAGACGUUGGAAGGACAAGAAAAUAGCACACAUGUCAACACACUAGUGAAGCUGAGAACAUUUACUGAAGCGAUUGAUCCCAUCCUGGGGUUUCCUGGAGGCAUCAUUUGGAGACUUCAUCUUUCAUCUCCAUUCCUUGGUAUAGGCUGCCUCCCACACCUGGAAUUCAAUCCCUCCUCACUUCUGCCUCUUAGAAGUCCUAUCUUCCUUCAAGGUUCAGUCCAGGCUCCACAUCAGACAGUAGACCUUUCCUGACACCCUGCAACUGUUAAUGCUUCUCUCCUCCUCUCCUCCAGAAAUUACUUGUUCACCUACAUAUAUAUUUUUGUAUUCAUUAUAAAUGUUGUUUCAGUAUACAUUCAGUGUAUAUGCUGUCUUCGCUUAAUGGAGGAAAGAGA